rnacentral:rRNA from 1 species
AUUGAACGCUGGCGGCAGGCCUAACACAUGCAAGUCGAACGAGUGGCGGACGGGUGAGUAAUGUCUGGGAAACUGCCUGAUGGAGGGGGAUAACUACUGGAAACGGUAGCUAAUACCGCAUACCAUCGGAUGUGCCCAGAUGGGAUUAGCUAGUAGGUGGGGUAAAGGCUCACCUAGGCGACGAUCCCUAGCUGGUCUGAGAGGAUGACCAGCCACACUGGAACUGGGACACGGUCAAGCCUCCUACGGGAGGCAGCAGUGGGAAAUAUUGCACAAGGGGGGCAAGCCUGAUGCAGCCAGGCCGCGUUGAUGAAGAAGGCCUUCGGGUUGGAAAGUACUUUCAGCGGGGAGGCGUUACCCGCAGAAGAAGCACCGGCUAACUCCGUGCCAGCAGCCGCGGUAAUUC